UGCGGGAAGAUCUUGCCAGUGACGGUUUUAGCUUUGCAGACACACACUCUGCCCACAAACUGGAACGUCAAUCCAAGACGGGACGGGAAGGCUCACAGUGAGCUGCUGGCACCGGCGAAAACAAAAAGCGUAUACCCUCAGCUUGAAAUGAAUACAAUUUGGCUCUGCGAGGAGCUGCAUUGAGACAACGCUUUCCAAGUCCAUUGAGCUUCCACUUCAAAUAACAACUCACCAUUUCAGGAGGGAGAGCGCUGCCGCAGAACAGAGGAGGAGAAGGAAUACAGGACGGAGGAGUCAGUGAGGUGGCUGUGCUGCAGACAGACAACAGCAAGUGUUUCUGUCUUGUCAGAGGUGAUCAAUGUCUGUGAGCUGGCACGGAAAGGCAGAGAGAGAGAGAGAGAAGGCUGGAGCUCUAUUGUCUAGACUGCAGACUGACAGCUCAGGCCUCCUGCCUGAGCAAAAAGGGUCUGAGCGCCGGCCGAUCUAAAGGGCUGAAUAGGGUUAAAUUGACUGCGACACAGGGGACAGAUGGCCCUGUCCUCUGGAGAAGCCGGCAUGGGGCAGAGAGGAGAGACACAUGAGGAAAAUAUAAUAGGGGGGAGAAAAAGAAAAAAA